rnacentral:rRNA from 1 species
AACGAACGCUGGCGGCAGGCUUAACACAUGCAAGUCGAACGCCCCGCAAGGGGAGUGGCAGACGGGUGAGUAACGCGUGGGAAUCUACCCAGAUCUUCGGAACAACUGAGGGAAACUUCAGCUAAUACCGGAUACGCCCUACGGGGGAAAGAUUUAUCGGUUCUGGAUGAGCCCGCGUUGGAUUAGCUAGUUGGUGGGGUAAUGGCCUACCAAGGCGACGAUCCAUAGCUAGUCUGAGAGGAUGAUCAGCCACACUGGGACUGAGACACGGCCCAGACUCCUACGGGAGGCAGCAGUGGGGAAUAUUGGACAAUGGGCGAAAGCCUGAUCCAGCCAUGCCGCGUGAGUGAUGAAGGCCUUAGGGUUGUAAAGCUCUUUCAGUAGGGAAGAUAAUGACGGUACCUACAGAAGAAGCCCCGGCUAACUUCGUGCCAGCCGCCGCGGUAAAAC